CAGUUUUCAUUUGAUUUGUUCCUAGGGUCGUCGAGGUCCUCCCGGGCCAAUGGACCUUCUGGCGAGCCGGGGGAAUCUGGCACUCCUGGUUCUAUGGGUCCAGCGGGUCUCCCUGGUGCGAACGGAAGGAAUGGAGAUGACGGUUUGUCUGGGAAAGUUGGUCGCCAGGGUGACCGGGGUUCUCAAGGUCCCCAGGGUGAGCGAGGACCCAACGGACUCUCAGGCGGACCUGGUAUGAAGGGAUACAACGGCUUCAAUGGUCGACCCGGAGCAAGAGGAGACCCUGGGCCUCCUGGACCUACGGGUGAACUUGGACCUGUUGGGAAAGAUGGGCGUCCAGGUGAAGUGGUGAGUGUCUCUGGUGGUGUGUGUGUGUGUGGGUGUGUCUGUUUUUGUGUGUGUGUGUGUGUGUGUGUGUGUGUGUGUGUGGUGUGUGUGUGUGUGUGUGUGUGUGUGUGUGUGUGUGUGUGUGUGUGUAUGUUGCAUUGUUAAGUGAAUACUUGCUAAUGCUAAUGCUAAUGCUAAUUUCUCUCUCUCUGUCUCUGCCUCUUUAUUGUUUUCCUUCCCUGUCCAUCACAUUUUCCUUCUCUCUUUCUCUUUCUCUUUCUCUUUCUCUUUCUCUCUCUCUCUCUCUCUCUCUCUCUCUCUCUCUCUCUCUCACACACACACACACACAAACACACUCACACACACACACACACACACACACACACACACACACACCACACACACACACACACACACACACACACACACACACACACACACACACACACACACACACACACACACACACACACACACACACACAC
rnacentral:lncRNA from 1 species